UACGUAGGGGGCAAGCGUUGUCCGGAUUUAUUGGGCGUAAAGAGCUCGUAGGCGGCUUCGUAAGUCGGAUGUGAAAUCUCACGGCUUAACUGUGAGCGGCCAUUCGAUACUGCGAGGCUAGAGGUCGGUAGGGGGGACAUGGAAUUCCUGGUGUAGCGGUGAAAUGCGCAGAUAUCAGGAGGAACACCGGUGGCGAAGGCGGUGUCCUGGGCCGAUCCUGACGCUGGAGGAGCGGAAAGCUGGGGGGAGCAAACAGG
rnacentral:rRNA from 1 species